rnacentral:rRNA from 1 species
AGGGCAGCAGUGGGGAAUUUUGGACAAUGGGGGCAACCCUGAUCCAGCAAUGCCGCGUGUGUGAAGAAGGCCUUCGGGUUGUAAAGCACUUUUGUCCGGAAAGAAAUCGCGCUGGCUAAUACCUGGCGUGGAUGACGGUACCGGAAGAAUAAGCACCGGCUAACUACGUGCCAGCAGCCGCGGUAAUACGUAGGGUGCGAGCGUUAAUCGGAAUUACUGGGCGUAAAGCGUGCGCAGGCGGUUUUGUAAGACAGGCGUGAAAUCCCCGGGCUUAACCUGGGAAUGGCGCUUGUGACUGCAAGGCUAGAGUGCGUCAGAGGGGGGUAGAAUUCCACGUGUAGCAGUGAAAUGCGUAGAGAUGUGGAGGAAUACCGAUGGCGAAGGCAGCCCCCUGGGACGAGACUGACGCUCAUGCACGAAAGCGUGGGGAGCAAACAGGAUUAGAUACCCUGGUAGUCCACGCCCUAAACGAUGUCAACUAGUUGUUGGGGAUUCAUUUCCUCCAGUAACGUAGCUAACGCGUGAAGUUG